UUAUUUAUUUUCUAAACCGUCGCUAACUUUUAAUUUUUUACAUUUCUCCGAUAAAUUUUGCGUUUCAUCUAAAAACACACCUAAAUCUUCCAAAUAUUUCUGUAAACUACCGUGAAACAAUAAAGAUGAGAAACCGAGGAACAUAGUUUCAGUUUUACUCCAGGAGUUAACAUGAUACAUUAUCCCGCAACCACAAAGUCAACAGGAAAAUAAUAAAAUUUGUCGCCCACAGUCAUUUUGAUCCACUUUUUUUUGG